CCCUUAGAUGUUCUGGGCCGCACGCGCGCUACACUGAUGCAUUCAACGAGUUUCUUACUGGUCCGAGAGGAAUGGGUAACCUUUUGAAAGUGCAUCGUGAUAGGGAUAGACUAUUGCAAUUAUUGGUAUUCAACGAGGAAUUCCUAGUAGACGUAGUUCAUCAGACUGCAUCGAUUACGUCCCUGCCCUUUGUACACACCGCCCGUCGCUCCUACCGAUUGAAUGCUCAGGUGAGCCAUUCGGACUUUCAUCAUGCUGGUUUCCAGUUUUGAUGAAGGAAAGUCUUGCGAACCUUAUCAUUUAGAGGAAGGAGAAGUCGUAACA
rnacentral:rRNA from 1 species